rnacentral:sRNA from 1 species
GACGUGUUUGGAGCUGGAGACGGCCUGGGUGCUGGCGAAGCGGAGGCCGGAGUUAAUACACGAGGAACUCAUGCAAAGGAGGGGACUUUCGGAAAUCCAAACUUAGAGUGCCUUGUAUUUAGAAUCCGGAAGGAAAAGGAAAUGAAAUGUGAAGAAACUCAUGCACCAAACUCGAACUGGGUAUAUGUGAUGUUACCUAGGUAUUAUUUUUGAAGAAUUUCUGACUGACAAUAAAAUAUAGAGUAGGAUACUUUCAUGUAAGGCACGAAACUUAAAUUUAAUGCAAGGUUGUCUGAUCCUUGUUGAGAUUAUUAAAUCUAAGGUGUAUGAAGAGUUCUGUGUUCUCACAUCAUAGGAUAGAUGUAAAAAAGAAAGCUGUGAAUUUAUUUACUAUCAUCAUCUCUCUUAGGAAGAAGUGAAGUGUGGAAAAAAAUUGUCUUCA